UUUAUUCUUGGAAAGUAAGAUGAUCCUUACCCCUCUUUUUGACGAUAUGAAGCUAACAUGUCUCUCCCUUGAAGCUCAAAACAAAAGAAAACGAGAGAGAAAGUGAUGGGUGUCGGCUAGGGUUUUCAGGAGGAAGAAGCAACCAUAGAGCUCGAUUCCAUCCACCCCAAGGUAUGUUUGCGUCCCAUUCCCUACCUAGCAACACCCCUUGAAUUUCCCCAGCCACCGUGGAGGCCGGAGCAGCCUCUGACGACCCUUAAACCGCCGGAAAACGAGGUUUAGCGGCAUUUUCUGUUUUGGUUCGUUUUAAGUCGACGGGUUCUUGGCCUUUAUAUCUCUUGCUAAAAAUAUAACCUCAAAAUGCGUGAAAAUAUUCUCAUACAUAGGAUUCUUUUGUAUUGAACGAAUAUAAUUCUAUUUCAAGCUCUUGGAUCUCUUUAUGAACACAAGAUUUUUGUGUUAAACGAAUUUAAUUCUAUUUCAAGCUCUUGGAUCUAUUUAUGAACUUAUUAAAGGUUACUAGGAGUAGUAUUUACCUCACUUCUAAAUUUCUUUAGUCUUGUGUUGAUGUCUAGAACCAAGAAACAAUAUGUUUACUUGAAUUUGUCCUAAAAAUCCACAAACAGAAGAGCUAUAUUUUGUGAAUGAUUUUGGUCCAUGAAAUCGGAUUUUCAACAAAGUUUUUCCUGCUAGAUAAUUUCAUUUACUAAUAACUCACAUCAUAAUCAUUUGUUUUUUCAUUAACAACGUAGUUACAGAUCCCUUAUCCCUAAAACUUUAUUUUAACUCGGACCUCCCUGUGGUUUCUUUUUAUUGCACCUAUGGUGCUGGAAUCUGGAUGCUGUUAAUGCUUGGCCUUUAAAGUAAUGUAAAAUGACUAAUUACCUCUGCUUAAAUAUAUUUGUUAGUUUUUUUAUUAUAUAUAAAUGUUUGUAUGCCCCCAUCUCAUCUCCAUCUUCCUUCAUCCUUUCUUUUUCCAACAAGAGACCUCCAUAGUCUCUCAUCCUCGUCUCUCCAAAACAAUCCACAAAAAAUUGAAAGACUAUUUUUCUUCUUUGGCUUCAUUUUGCUGAAAUUUCUUGUUUGGCUUCACUUUGAUGAAAUUUAUGGGUUUUGUUUCGAGUUGUAAGCAAGAUUUAGGUCUCAACGCACUCCUCUCUCUAUUUUGGUUAUUGACGCGUAAGAGACAUACAAUCACACACUAAUACAAAUCCCCUGUUAUUCUUUGCUUGCACUUUGCUGAAUUUCUUGUUUGGAUUCACUUGACUUUGCUGAAUUUUCGAUUUAUGUUUUUUGUUUCGAGUUGUGAGCAGAUUUUGGGUCUCAAUUGCACUCUUUUGUUUAGUAACAUGUAUCUUCAUCCACCAUCAAAGUUGUGAACUUGUUCAUAUUCAAACACAAAGUGAUGGGGUGUUUAAUGAUCUCAUAGUGGAGCUCUUUUGUUUUAUCUUUUCCAUGUUCCUCUCCUGUUAGCAUACUUUGCAAGCUUAAAAAAAAUUGGUAGUUUAAAAUCCAAACUCUUAGCAACGUAAUAAGGCAACUCAAAUUAACCAUUUUGGAAACAAAUGAAAUAUAAAGAGGGAAGAGAUUACCAUUUUAAUCUAGGCAUUAAAGAAAGGAGAAGCAGAAAGAUGAAAGCAUUUAGAUGAGGAGACAUAUCAUCUGACUCAAGCCCAUGAAUGUUAGUUGAAAUCCUUUAGAUGUAUACUAAUAGUAGUUCUAAUGAUACAAAAAUCUAAAUUUGAAAAGAUUGUUGUUGCUACAUUCUUGGGGUUCUAUAAACAACCAUGCCAAGAAUCUUUUUUUUUUUGGUUAGAUCUAAUUGUUUGUUGAUAUCAAGUGAAAGCAUGAAAUAUUCUAUUAAUUUUGCAAUGUCUCUCAUGGGAUAUAGUAAUGGAUCUUGUAGCUGUUUCAAGAAUGGUAUUUAAUGUUGAUUUAUUUAAGGAUUAUAUAGCUGGUACUUUACAUUACUUUACAUUGACAACUAUAAGGAUAUUGUAGGUUAAAUGAAUAAAUCGGUCUAUAUUUUCUUCAUGGCUAUGUAAUGGUUAUUCUACAUCAAUACUUAACUAUAUCUAUGUUGGAUAAAGGAUCCAUAAACCUGUCAUAUAUUUGCUGUUGACCCUCGUAGUUUCACUAAUUACCAUUGUGAGGCCCGUAUAGAUGUCAAUAUCAUUACCUUCCUUCCUUUCCUUGAUGAUGAAGAGAUUUAAAUGGGAAAAGAUCUGAAACCGAAAGCAGAGAGUGCAAGUAAGGCAUUAUAAACUUCUAUUAUUGUGUUGUCUAAAAAUUAUGCUACUUCAACAUGGUGCCCGAUGAAUAUAGAGUCAUACAAAUUGUCAAACCAAACCAUAAAACUUAGAGAGAUGAUGAUUCAUAACAAUUGUCAAACCUAAAACACUUUAUGCACGAUACCAAAUCCAUAGUAGAUGUAUCUUAACUAUUAUAACAUAAAAGACAUUAACUUGGUCAAACCAAAUCAUGCAUAUGUUUUUACUACUAGUAACCUGCAAUUAUAGAUUUUUGGAGGAUGUUAACUCUAGGGAUAAGCGUGAGACUGAACCAGUACCGAACAGUAUUGCUAAAUUCUCGAUAAUUGAAUUUGAUCGAAAGUUAAUCCCAAGUACCGAAUCGAACUAACAUUGCUGGUAUGGUAUAGGGCGGUAAGUUUUUGGUCCUAGCAUUGGUACCGUUGGUAUUGAAUCCCUAAUUUUGUGAUUUUAGAGUACUAAGUACGGUCCUCGUAUGUUUAAAUUUGAUACAGUUUGGUGCUGGUUGCAGUACGAUACACGCAUUAGAUU
rnacentral:lncRNA from 1 species